UAUGUGAUCGUCUCUCGCAUAUCAAUAAGCGGAGGAAAAGAAACUAACAAGGAUUCCCCUAGUAACGGCGAGUGAAGCGGGAAGAGCUCAAAUUUGAAAUCUUAAAGGGUUUCCCUUUACGAAUUGUAGUUUAAAGAAGUGUUUUCUGUUGAGGUUUUGGUAAAAGUUCUUUGGAAUAGGACAUCAUAGAGGGUGAGAAUCCCGUAUUUGACCUUUACUUUCAACUUUGUGAUACACUUUCAAAGAGUCGGAUUGUUUGGGAAUGCAGUCCAAAAUGGGUGGUAAAUUUCAUCUAAAGCUAAAUAUUGGCGAGAGACCGAUAGCGAACAAGUACCGUGAGGGAAAGAUGAAAAGAACUUUGAAAAGAGAGUUAAACAGUACGUGAAAUUGUCAAAAGGGAAGCGUUUGACACCAGUGUUGUUUUUCUGAAAAUCAAUUAAAGAACUGUUUAUGCUAAGUUGUUUAGACUUUAUCAGCUAUCUGCUUAGUUUUGAGCUUUUCUUUAAUGCACUUUUCAGUUAACAAGUCAACAUCAAUUUCUUUUGCUGUAAAAAAGCUUGAGGAAGGUGGCUUGAGAUUCGUCUUAAGUGUUUAUAGCCUCUUGCCUAUGCAGUCAGGAGAGAUUGAGGUCUGCAGCGUAGAUCCUUCGGGGCUAAAUGCAUUUGUGCUAAGUUAUAGCAUUUUAUAGACAACUUGUUGACUAUGAUUUGUCUUGUAGCUUACUCGCUUAUGUUAUUUUACCUACGCUUAGGAUGUUGAUCUACAGAGCGAGAGU
rnacentral:rRNA from 1 species